UGGACGCCAGUCUGCGUGGAGCCAACCUUGAAAUACCACCCUUUAAUGUUUGAUGUUCUAACGUGGACCCGUAAUCCGGGUUGCGGACAGUGUCUGGUGGGUAGUUUGACUGGGGCGGUCUCCUCCCAAAGCGUAACGGAGGAGCACGAAGGUUAGCUAAUCCUGGUCGGACAUCAGGAGGUUAGUGCAAAGGCAUAAGCUAGCUUGACUGCGAGAGUGACAGCUCGAGCAGGUGCGAAAGCAGGUCUUAGUGAUCCGGUGGUUCUGAAUGGAAGGGCCAUCGCUCAACGGAUAAAAGGUACUCCGGGGAUAACAGGCUGAUACCGCCCAAGAGUUCAUAUCGACGGCGGUGUUUGGCACCUCGAUGUCGGCUCAUCACAUCCUGGGGCUGAAGUAGGUCCCAAGGGUAUGGCUGUUCGCCAUUUAAAGUGGUACGCGAGCUGGGUUUAGAACGUCGUGAGACAGUUCGGUCCCUAUCUGCCGUGGGCGUUGGAAGAUUGAGAGGGGUUGCUCCUAGUACGAGAGGACCGGAGUGAACGCA
rnacentral:rRNA from 2 species